UCUGAUAUUGAAUAGUACUGUUAGCCUCACCUGUUGCAAUAAUGGCAACGUUGUUACCUCUUCUAAAGAAUCCUGUGUUUAUCCAAAGGUCUGGGACCAUUGUACAGGAUCAUUAAUAUACAGUUCAUCUGUGUUAUCAGCAUAUCCUCUUCUCAGCUUAUUCAUUGAUGCAGAAAGCAGGCAGCUGGUCACUGGAUGUGCUGACGGCCAGCUUUGGAUCUUCAGUUUGAUGGAUGGACACCAUUAUCGUCGUGUGGCACGGGUUGACCUAAGGAAGAAGACAGAGACGUUCUCCACAAGAAGGGUUAAGUCUGGGCUGUGCAGCCAGCCAGAUGCCACCUGCACCCGCCCAGCACCCUCGUCCUCACCUGGUCUCUGGCUGUCCAGAGUUAUUUCCUGUUGACCACAGCUCUCCUCAUAAGAAAGCCAUCUUCCCUCUACAAGUGCUCUGGGAAAAGGAGAGCAGGUUGAAGUAACAUUUCCUGUACUGAGACUUGCACCCUGUGAUCUGUCACUCAUCCCAAAUUCUGCAUGUGGAUGUCUUUCUUCUGAGAACACCCAAUGUGUAUGGAUCGGAAGCUCAGUGGGCUUAUUCGUAUUUAACCUGGCAAACCUGGAAGUGGAAGCUGCUUUGUAUUACAAAGAUUUCCAGAGCCUCAGCAUCCUGCUGGCCGGAUCGUGUGCCCUGAGGAACCGCACUGCGGAUCGAAAGGUGCUGUGCUUGCUGGCCUCCCUCUUUGGCGGGAAGAUUGCCGUGUUGGAGAUCAACCCGGCCGCGCUGGUCAGGGCUCAGCAGUGCCACAGCGUGGGGCAGAGCCUCUCGGUGCCAGCCAGCUUCUGUGUCCUACCGACCUCUCCACUGUAUCUGGGAAUUGCCAAGGAGAAGAGUACCAAGGCUGCUAGUCAACAGCGAUGUGCUGCACGGAACGUCAUGAAGGACCAACGCCUGGUUUUCCAUAGUAAAGUUAGGUCGUCUGGUUAUGCGUCAGCACCACAUGUGACUAUGUUUUCACCAAAGACCAACAUUAAAAGUGAGGGGAAAGGAUCUUCAAGACGCAGGAGCCGCUGCGCAUGGGAGGCAUACCCCGUGGAGUGCGCUGUGCCCACCAAGCCCGGCCCCCAGGUCACCGCCGCCCCCACCUGCGCACGCGUGUGCUGCAUCCAGUACUCAGGAGAUGGGCAGUGGCUGGCUUGUGGGUUGGCCAACCAUCUGUCACUCGUUUUUGAUGCCAGCCUGACUGGGACACCUGCUGUGUUUUCAGGUCACGACGGGGCAGUGAACGCUGUGUGCUGGAGCCAGGACCGGAGGUGGCUGCUUUCUGCGGCCUGGGACGGGACCCUGCGGGUGUGGUCGGCUCGUGGGGCAGAGCUCGCACUGCUUCUGAUAUAAACAGAAGAGCAAGUCCAAGCUGAUUUGCAGGCUCUCCAUGACGGGUGCAGUAGACAUGACCAGUUUAUCGGCAGUCAACGACUUUUAUUCCCACAUCGUACUCACAGCUGGCCGGAACAGGACCGUGGAAGUGUUCGACCUCAACGCUGGCUGCAGUGCAGCAGUGAUAGCGGAAGCCCACUCGCGGCCUGUCCAUCAAAUCUGCCAAAAUAAAGGUUCAUCAUUUACAACCCAACAGCCUCAGGCUUAUAACCUUUUCCUGACCACGGCCAUUGGCGAUGGGAUGAGACUGUGGGACCUGAGAACCCUGAGGUGUGAGCGCCACUUUGAAGGGCAUCCAACCCGUGGCUAUCCAUGUGGAAUCGCUUUCAGUCCUUGUGGACGAUUCGCGGCUUGUGGGGCUGAGGACAGACACGCUUACGUGUAUGAAAUGGGUUCAAGCACGUACUCUCACCGGCUGGCUGGGCACACAGACACCGUCACUGGAGUGGCCUUCAACCCAUCGGCGCCCCAGAUAAGGAAACUGAGGCACAAAGAAGUUAAAAUGCCUGAACAAAAGCACACAGUGGGUAAGUGGACACGCAAGGCUUCACCCUCACCCCUCAUUGAUCUGACUUCAGAUUCCAUCUUCUUAGCAUGGUGCCCACCUACACACCACAGAGCUGUAUAAGGGCAGAAGAGAGAAGUGCGUUCUGCUACCACCAGCAAGCACUGGGAAGCAUCUUGAAGAAAAGUGGGAUGAGCUGUGCGGAGCCUUUCGGGGCAGAUUCAAGAGGAGAAAGCCGUGUCUUUCUUACUAUGGACACUCGGGAACUGGAGAAAGGUUUCCUUCUCAAAUUUAUUGACUAGAACUCAGUUCCCAAUCAACAUUUCAAAAAAGUUUCUUAUUUCUGUGAGAGGCAAUAUAUAUUAUAUUUCUAUUAAUGUGGCAUUAAUGCUUGUUUUUUCUUUUUUAGUCCCUGAGUGGUUUCAAAUGUGUGUUUUCAUGUACAAUUUAUAGUUCUGAAGAGUGUGUCAUUUCCAGAUAUUUCCUGACUGUCUCAUCAAUGCCCACAUCAUAAAAGUUAAUUUCAUGCCUAAGGAAUCUACACUACCUUCCUUUUGGAAAAUGUUCUGCAGAUUCUAGCAAAGUCAACAGCCAAACCAUGAAUGUAAAGGCUGCCGUACAGACUACAGAAGUAGGCAGCUUGCCAUCGCCACGCUACCUACUUUACAUUCAAGUGAUUUAUAUAAGAGCCAAAAAAAUGUACUCCACAUAGUAUUGAUCUUUCACUGUCAUGCAGAGAUAGCUGUCCAGAUGAUAGAUUAAGACAAUGAGAAAAUAAGGGAUUGGCUUCAAGAUUUGUGGUUGCCGACGGAAUUUCUUCAACAGAAAGAGAAGGAAACUGAACUACAGAACUGGUAGGAUAUUAUUAUUUUUACUGUAAAUGAUCCAAGCCUGUCAGGCCUGUAACUUCCAAGUGCAAUGUAUUAUGAUCUGUGGUGUAAAACAAAAGAUUCUGAACUUGAGUCAGUAAUAGCUGGUUUAUUCCAGGAUUCAAAUGUGAGUAACUUACCUCUCACCAACAGUAGUCAAAAUGAGAAGCCCGCUAUGCUGCGGCUUUAUGGCUCAUGGACUCUGGAUGAGUUCUGCAUUUAUCUUCGUGGAGUGAUGAAUAAUUGAAUUGGAAAAUCAUGGCAUCCAGAAUGGAACUGCAUAAAAAUCUGCUGGAGUGUUUCCGAAAAAAUGAAGACCUCUGGGCCCUUAUCCCAGACUUUCUAUUUCAGUGGUCCAUGGAAGAGCCUGCAAGCUUGGCUUUUCCAUCUCAGGACUUAGCUGCAGGGUCUCAGGGCACACUGCAGAGACUCGUCGUCCUUUUGCCUGGAGGUGCGCACUGACUAUUUGCAGAUGAGUCGCCAUCCUGAUGACUGCCCAGCCCUUGGCUGCCUGUGCUCCAGGUCUCCACUCAUUUGACAAGCAAGACCCACAUCCGGCAGCAAGGACUCCACCGGGAUGGGAGCCUGGUGCUUAUUCUCGAACUCAGCAAUCCAGCAGUGCACCUGGCUCUGUUUCCAGCCUGGCCAAUGAUUGUCUAAGCAUCAAUUAUUACAUAUUACUAAUUAUUAAAUAUUAAAUGUAAUAUCUU
rnacentral:sRNA from 1 species